GAUGAAGAACGUAGCGAAAUGCGAUAAGUAAUGUGAAUUGCAGAAUUCAGUGAAUCAUCGAAUCUUUGAACGCACAUUGCGCCCCCUGGUAUUCCGGGGGGCAUGCCUGUUCGAGCGUCAUUUCACCACUCAAGCCUCGCUUGGUAUUGGGCAACGCGGUCCGCCGCGUGCCUCAAAUCGACCGGCUGGGUCUUCUGUCCCCUAAGCGUUGUGGAAACUUUCGCUAAAGGGUGUUCGGGAGGCUACGCCGUAAAACAACCCCAUUUCUAAGGUUGACCUCGGAUCAGGUAGGGAUACCCGCUGAACUUAAGCAUAUCAAUAACGGAGGA
rnacentral:misc_RNA from 1 species